rnacentral:tRNA from 1 species
ACUUUAAUAGUUUAAAUAAAACAUUGUGUUGAAGCCACAAAAUUAACUACUGUUUUAAAGUU